ACCAUUUUUGACUUAGAAAAUGCAUUCGUUUUUUUUUUUUUUUUAUUUGCAGGAAUCGUUAGAUUGAAAUGUUUGAAUUAGGAACCGGUAGCCAAUAAUCCCACAAAGGUCAUUUCUGCAUGCUAUAAAAUGUUGGAAAAAAAGAAAGAUGUCAAAAAGGUAUAUAUAUAUAUAUAUAUAUAUAUAUAUGUGGAAAAAAAGAAAGAUGUCAAAAGGUAACAAUAUAUAUAUAUAUAUAUAUAUGCAUUAUCUUUUUUAAACUUAUGUUAUAAGUGUAUCAUUCUAUAUCUGUAUACCUUAGGUCAAGAAAUCGACUUUUGUAAUUUAUAAUGUCAAAACUUGCAUUUCACUGCCAUAGAAUAUCAAUUUGUACUCUAGUAUAUAUCGAAAUUAAAGCAUAACAACCAUUGCAUAAUUUGAUGCUUUAUGAAAUUUAAAACUCUCUUCUAUUAAUUUUAAAUUUUAUUUUGCAGGAUAUAUAGGCUCAUAGACAUUACUUGUUGUGGAGGAUUUUGACAUUGGAAGUUGAUAACAACACAUAAAAUGCCACCCAGUUGAUAGCUUUAAGUGAAGAUGCACUGAAAAGUGG
rnacentral:lncRNA from 1 species